CUUGUCCCCCAUCUCCAGGAGAAGAUGGCUGCCCUUAUCGCUGAAAACUUCCGCUUCCUCUCCUUGUUCUUCAAGAGCAAAGAUGUGAUGAUCUUUAAUGGCCUGGUGGCCCUGGGUACAGUGUGCAGUGAAGAGCUCUUCUCAGUUGUUGCCUUCCACUGCCCCUGCUCCCCAGCCCGCAACUACAUCUACGGGCUGGCUGCCAUCGGUGUCCCAGCCCUGGCACUCUUCCUCAUCGGCGUCAUCUUGAACAACCACACCUGGAACGUAGUGGCUGAGUGCCACAAGCGUGGCACCAAGAACUUCUCCUCUGCCGCCACCUUCCUCCUCUUUGGUUCCAUCAUGGGCCGGGCGGCCGUGGCACCUAUCACCUGGUCAGUCAUCUCCUUGCUGCGUGGGGAGGCUUACAUCUGUGCCCUCAGCGAGUUUGUCAGGCCGUCCUCCCUGGACAAGUUCCCAUCUGAGUUCGGAGCUGAGGUGCUGGCGAGAUUCCCCUGCAAAGAUGUGCCGGCAAACCUCACCAAGUUCAGGGACGAGGUGACACGGAGGCUGAGAUAUGAGUCCCAGCUCUUUGGCUGGCUGCUCAUCGGGAUCGUUGCUGUCCUGGUCUUCCUCACCAAGUGCCUGAAGCACUGCUGCUCACCACUGAGCUACCGGCAGGAGGCCUACUGGGCCCAGUACCGCUGCAAUGAGGACAAGCUUUUCCGCCGCACCGCUGAAGUCCACUCCAGGAUCCUAGCAGCAAAUAAUGUGAAGCAGUUCUUUGGAUUUGUGGCGCUUGACAAGGAGGAGAAGGAGCUGGUGCAGGAGUUCCCAGUGGAGGGUGUCCAGCCCAGCCCCCAGUGGAAUGCCAUUACGGGUGUCUACAUCUACCGGGAGAACAAGGGCUUCCCCCUCUACAGCCGGCUCCACAAAUGGGCAAAAGGGGUGGAAGGGAACGGGCCAACCCCAGAGGGCCAUGAAAUGCUCUUCUUGGCUUCCUAAGACAGAUAAGCACUGGGAACAGUUCCCCAGACUGCCUUGCAGACCUAUCAGUAUUGGUGUGUAGCUCAUGGAUUUGCUGAGAAUAUUCCUGCCAGCAGGAUUACUACUCCCAGCAGGUAAAAAGGAAUCAGCAGCCUCAAGGUAGAGGCUGAUAAGCAACGCACUGAGCUGGAGAACCCCUCCCUUGGAGACAACCAUCUUGCUGGUGCUCCCAGAGGGUAAGGGGAGCAGAGCAGAUGCACACCUUACCUCCAGGCUGCUGGUGAGCCCUGCUGUCCUAAGCACCAGCAAAAUCCUCAGGGAGCAAGAGCUGGGAACAUUUCUAACUCUGACUCCUGCAGUCCCACCUGUCUUCCCUGUGGCAGGGUUAGUCCCAGCCAUCCUACGCACCCACCUUUUUUAUCGACACCAGCAUUUUCUUAUGCAGUUCUGCAGUGCCUGUUACAUGGACAGGUCCGGAGCACUUUACAGACUUCACAGGGAAAGAGGGAAGCAGUGAGUAUGUUCCUGUAGCAGCAAAGGUCAGUAAUACAGCAGCAGGCCAAAUAACUGAGAGACUAAGGCAGGAGGAAUCACCAAUAUUGUAGGUAUUCAGAAAGACAGUCUGUAAUUACCAAGUUGAAAUUUGGGUAGGACACUAAACUCCCUUUGUUCUUACUGAAGCGUCUGGCAACCUCUAAUGAGCCCAAAUGGUCGCAGCCAUGAGAAUAUAACCCUGGAAGGUGACACCAUCCGCAGAAUAGCUUUCAGGCAAGCUAGCUUGGUGGAGGCUCAAAGGGAGCACAGCACCCACAGUGAACCACAGCACCAUGUGCAGCUCAUCACAUUGCUCAUCCACCAUUGGGUGAGAAUCCUGCUUGUUUGGGUUGACAAGCUGGAGCAAAACCCCAGCCAGAAUUAUAUACAUAUCAUUAUGUUAUAUAUACACACACACACAAUAUAUAUAUAUAUAAUUAUACUUUUCUGUACUAAUGGAGCAUCUUUCCAGGGAAAGAGGGCGAGAAACUUGCCAGCCAAAAGACCACGUUACAUGCACUCACCUGCUCUAUUACUACUGCAGCCCUGCAGUGACAAGAGACUGUGGGAAUGGGAUGAGGCCCUCAGGGUGAACACACAUACGCACUUGCCACCCCCGCAUGCAAGUCAGCAGAUGCAAGGUAACGUGCUGAAACAGUAGCAUGAGCAUAUUCCUCUUACUUCCCUUCAUGACAGUCCUCAUUCCUUUGAACCACCUCCACUUUCUUCUCCUGCUCUCCCCUCCUUUUGAAGGAGAGGGGCAAGAUAAAAUGCUUGCAAAAGGAUUUGUUUAUCGUAAGAAUACAGCAUGUGUACAACCCAGCCUUUGCUUUGUUAGGUUCUCUCUUCUCCAUUAACUCCAGCUGCUUUCCAUGUGUUGGAACGGGCCAGAGACUUGUGAAGCUUGUCCAUUUUCCCACCAUCUUCCUGGAGAGGCAGCUGACGGCAAGGAACAGAGCAAGGCACUGCUGUUAAAAAUACUGCACUGAAGUCAUUCUCUACUAUGUAGCAAAUUCCAAACAAUGCAAUUGUAAGGACUUUUUUUUUCUUUUUUUUUCCUCCCUUCUUCCACAGCCCUGAGCAUGAUCCCUAAUAACACAGCUGUGGGCUUCUGGCCCUCGCAGCCCAUCAGCACCCUUGUGAAUCACAGAAUCAUUUUGAAGAGUUGGAUGUGGCCUUUAAUUGCCACCUAGUCCAACCCCCCUGCAAUGAAUAGGGACAUCUAUAACCCUGCCAAGGCAGUCGCUCAUCCUUUCCCACUGAAGGUGAGGUGAAGUCAGCACAAGGAAGAAAGUAGCAAAGGAGGAAAGGAGUCAGAGUGAGAGCUACCAAUGUGUGGGAAAUGCUGGGAGCAAGAGACAAGGAAAAGUGUGUGUGUGUGGGGGGGGAAGAAGCAGACUUGAUUAAUUUCUGUAAAAAUACUCAAAGUAGGACAUUUGCCACAUAGCUUUUUAACUCAGUGCAAACAAGCAAAACACCAAAAGGGAAGCCGAGGCGUUUGUCUUCCUGGCGUGCUGGAUCACGCAGGCUGAGCUCACGCGUUCUAUGCUCCUCCUGCAGAUGCUGAAAGCAAUGCCGUCACAGAGCAGCCUACAGGCUGUCAGUUAGGGCAUGCUUCCUAGCAGCAAGCCAGGCUUUAACCAGGCUCCAGUACACAGAAUUACACGCAGCUCUUUCAUUUUCCCUGCUGAGUACUGUAGAGACUACAAUAGCCCCUGUAAUCAUAAAGAAAUAAUACCUCACAGGGAUCUUGGUUUCAGUUCAGACACUUAUUUACAUAUUGUAUUAUGUAACUAAUUCAUUCAGGGAAAAAAAAUAAAAGGAAAGCCACCAUCACUGCGGUUGUGCUGUUUAAAAAAGGAAAAGCAGCAGCUGCUACUGGAUGUUGCAAGGAGCCUCCUUCUCUAGAAGAGCAUUAAGCAUGAAUAUAUGUACAGCACCCUGCUGCCCCUGAGGAUAAGCAGUAAAAUAAUUUGUUUUUAGAUCCCAUUGGAUUUGGGAAUUAACUGUAUGCUUAAUCACUCAGCCUUGCCAACAGUGGGCAUUCAGAGAGGCAAAAGGGUUAAGUCCUACAGAACUCUGGUUUCAAGUUCAGAGCACAUACAAUGAGUAAGUUUAUUCAAGUUUAGUGUUUCAAAUUUGGGCAUCCACUAGUGCUAGUGUCUGCACUGGAUAACCACCUCUUUGCAUCCCCUGCUUUUUCCCUCACUGUCAGUUCUCUGUCUAUAAAAACCAUCACAACAUCCAAAUCUUACUGGAGAGAUACAAGACCAAGGACAAGACACCAACACCAGCGAUGGCAUAUCAAAGAUAGUUGGCAUUUUCUAUGCAGAAGGUUAGCUGGGGAUUAUUUUUUUUCCAGCACAGAAAAAACACGGUCUUCGACUUCAAACAUUUCUCUUAAAAGAUGCCAACUACAGACUUUUUCUGUCAUCAGUCACCAGCGAUCCUUUAUGAGAUGGCAGUAAUCAUGGGAUCCAGUGUCACUGGACAAUGUAUGCUCUAAAAGUACAUGCCUCUUCAGCUAAAAAGGCCAAGAAUAUUCUGGGGGUACAUUAGGAAAGACAAUAUCUGAAGGCCAAAGAAGGUAAUUCUUCCCCUCUGCUCUGCAGAGGUGAGUCAUCUGGGGUGAUGUGUCCAGUGCUGGGUUCCCCUGUACAGAGAUACUGUCACUGGACUUACCGCAGUGAAUACUGCAAAUGAACAGGAAGAUGACAACAGGACUGGAGCAUCCAUCAGACAAAGAGAGGCCGAGAUAGCUGGAGCUGUUCAGUCUGAAGAAGAAAAGGCUCAAGCCAGAUCAUAUCCAUGUGUAUAAAUAAUUGUCGGGGGGGGGGGGU